rnacentral:misc_RNA from 1 species
AACGCACAUUGCGCCCCUGGGUAUUCCUGGGGGCAUGCCUGUUCGAGCGUCAUUUCAACCCUCAAGCUCAGCUUGGUCUUGGGCCAUGCCGGAAACGGCCGGCCUUAAAACUAGUGGCGGUGCCGUCGGGCUCUACGUGUAGUAAUUACUUUUCACGUCUGGGUCCCGGCGGUCGCUGGCCAACAACCCCCAAUUUUUUUCUGGUUGACCUCGGAUCAGGUAGGGAUACCCGCUGAACUUAA